GGGGUCGCGUCCUAUCAGCUUGACGGCGGGGUAACGGCCCACCGUGGCUUCGACGGGUAGCCGGCCUGAGAGGGCGACCGGCCACAUUGGGACUGAGAUACGGCCCAGACUCCUACGGGAGGCAGCAGUGGGGAAUAUUGCACAAUGGGCGCAAGCCUGAUGCAGCGACGCCGCGUGAGGGAUGGAGGCCUUCGGGUUGUAAACCUCUUUUAUCGGGGAGCAAGCGUGAGUGAGUUUACCCGUUGAAUAAGCACCGGCUAACUACGUGCCAGCAGCCGCGGUAAUACGUAGGGUGCAAGCGUUAUCCGGAAUUAUUGGGCGUAAAGGGCUCGUAGGCGGUUCGUCGCGUCCGGUGUGAAAGUCCAUCGCUUAACGGUGGAUCCGCGCCGGGUACGGGCGGGCUUGAGUGCGGUAGGGGAGACUGGAAUUCCCGGUGUAACGGUGGAAUGUGUAGAUAUCGG
rnacentral:rRNA from 1 species